ensembl:snRNA U1 U1 spliceosomal RNA
UGCACUGAGGCUGUUGCUGACCCGCGCGAAUUCCCCAAAUGUGGGAAUCUCGAUUGCAUAAUUUCUGGUAGUGGGGACUGCGUUCGCUCUCCCCU